rnacentral:rRNA from 1 species
UACGUAGGGUGCAGGCGUUAAUCGGAAUUACUGGGCGUAAAGCGUGCGCAGGCGGUUUGCUAAGACAGGUGUGAAAUCCCCGGGCUUAACCUGGGAACUGCGCUUGUUACUGGCAAGCUGGAGUGUGGCAGAGGGGGGUGGAAUUCCACGUGUAGCAGUGAAAUGCGUAGAGAUGUGGAGGAACACCGAUGGCGAAGGCAGCCCCCUGGGCUAACACUGACGCCUCAUGCACGAAAGCGUGGGGAGCAAACAGG